rnacentral:piRNA from 1 species
UACCUACCUCUGGCUUCGGUGAGCA